GACGAACGCUGGCGGCGUGCCUAACACAUGCAAGUCGAACGGAGAUAUGAUUUCGGUUAUAUCUUAGUGGCGAACGGGUGAGUAACGCGUGAGCAACCUGACUCUUAGAGGGGGAUAACACUCGGAAACGGGUGCUAAUACCGCAUAAGACCACGACAUGGCAUCAUGACGAGGUCAAAGGAGCAAUCCGCUGAGAGAGGGGCUCGCGUCCCAUUAGAUAGAUGGCGGGGUAACGGCCCACCAUGUCAGCGAUGGGUAGCCGAGCUGAGAGGCUGAUCGGCCACACUGGAACUGAGACACGGUCCAGACUCCUACGGGAGGCAGCAGUGGGGAAUAUUGGGCAAUGGGCGCAAGCCUGACCCAGCAACGCCGCGUGAGGGAAGAAGGCUUUCGGGUUGUAAACCUCUGUCCUUGGUGACGAAACAAAUGACGGUAGCCAAGGAGGAAGCCCCGGCUAACUACGUGCCAGCAGCCGCGGUAAAGUGUGUGUAC
rnacentral:rRNA from 1 species